rnacentral:tRNA from 2 species
GGCGCGGUAGCUCAGCAGGUUAGAGCGUACGACUCAUAAUCGUAAGGUCGAGAGUUCGAGUCUCUCCCGCGCCA